rnacentral:rRNA from 1 species
CAGCAGCCGCGGGAAUACGUAGGGUGCAAGCGUUAAUCGGAAUUACUGGGCGUAAAGCGUGCGCAGGCGGUUAUAUAAGACAGAUGUGAAAUCCCCGGGCUCAACCUGGGAACUGCAUUUGUGACUGUAUAGCUAGAGUACGGCAGAGGGGGAUGGAAUUCCGCGUGUAGCAGUGAAAUGCGUAGAUAUGCGGAGGAACACCGAUGGCGAAGGCAAUCCCCUGGGCCUGUACUGACGCUCAUGCACGAAAGCGUGGGGAGCAAACAGGAUUAGAUACCCGUGUAGUCCCUGUCUCUUAUAC